AAGGUAGAUGAGAUUUACCUCCAAAAGAGCAAGCCUCUUCUUCCAUGGGAGGCUGAGUCCAUCUGCCCUACAGAUGUUCUAGAUCUGGGCUUAAUUGUAGCUUCAAUGUGAUUCAGCUCACUACUGCUUUCAAAUGUUUUGAAGGGAAGUUUGCUGACCCCUGCCCUAGAUGUCUGCAGCCCCAGCUGACAUCACGUGAAGCAGAAGAACUGCUCGGCUGAACCUAAUCAAUCCAUAUCGCUUCAGAAGGCACGGAGGACACCAGAAUUGGCCUACUGUGGACAAAUGCACAGCACUGCAUCACUACCAGAAAGAUCUCUCGGUUUUUCCCCAUCCAUUCAAGCCAAACCUCAGGCAACCACAGGCAGCAGAACACUCCAGUCUUUACAUGGCUGGCCGACAGGACUGAAGAGGUGUUCCUUGCCCAAGCCAGACCGUCUGUGAUGGCACUCCAACCUGGCACUCAGCUUAUGAAAGCAGGAGUCACAUGACAGGACCUUCUCUGCAGGCUUAAGAAAAAAGAACUACAACGUUUUUGCCAAUUGGGAGAUGAAAAUGAAGUGGACAUGGGACCACUGAGAGCAAGUUCAAGGAGGCGUGAGCCCUAGAAGGCACUCCUGCCCGCGUGGUGUGUGCCAGGGCGCUCGUGACAGCCUGGCUGCCACUCGCUCAGCUAGAAGAACGAACGGCCGCGGUCCACCCCUCCCCGUAUCUGUCCAGGUGGUUCUCAGAGUCAUCAGUCAGUUAAUAAGAUAAACCCGUUGCGUGAAAAAUGCCAAACACUGGAACGUGCUAACAUGAUCUGAAUUCUCAAGCACUACUUGUAUUCCUGACAGCUACACAGAAGGGUCACCGUCCUACAUGCAGGUGGGAAACGUGUUCAAGACAGUGAACCCUUCUCUCAAUAUUUGUUCUUUCGCAUUAUGAAGAAAAAAUGUAAGUCCUUACAUUAGUUCUCCUCGGAAUAAGAAUGUAAGAGAAUCACAUUUAGUACUGAGAGCCUCUUGGGAGGGGGACCUUCGAGAUGCAUCAUUAAGUAACACUUAGAAGAGCGAUUUUAAUUAAUGGUUCUUGGCAAUAAUAGAAAAACCACUGACCAGGUUUUCACUCGUAUCCUUGUAAGAACUCUCUCUCCUCAAAUGGGCGUUUGAAGAGGACAGCCACCACAGAGGCCAGUAACGGUAAAGAGUAAAACCAAAGGCAUUCAAACUCUCAUUGCUCCACUAUGCUGGGUUUGGACCAGAAGAGCUGAGAAAAUAUCUAAGUGAUGAAGCAGUUUUUGUGUUUUCCAGCCCUUUCACCAGUGAAUGGUAUUCUUUCACAGCUGUUGUAGAAAAUAUCUAUCACAGAGCUUCUCGCUCAUGAAUCACUCGUGGGGUUUUUAUUUUUUUAAUUCAAAAUUUUUUUUCCCUUCCAAGGGCAGGAAUUCUCACACUUACCAUUUACAGACCAGCACCUCUCUAACCUAUCUGCAUGAUUUUUCAUGCAGAACAACUUAAGAAAUCUUCAUGACUGUAAUAUACCAAAUUUAAUAAAAUUCAAAUGUUUUCAGCAA